AGGCCGUCAAUAAUUUAACAAAAACAAACAGAAUAUGGAUCAGAUUUGGACAACGACUUCUAAGACAUUCACACAACAGGCUAAACAAUUCGAAGAGGGAUCUCUGGAUGAUCGAGCAGCAAGUCCAGCAUUAUGUGGGGAAAUAACUACAGGUGUACACAGAAAAGGACAUGUUCAUGUACAAGACACGGUUGGAAUUCAUAAAAGAUUAAGCUGCCUCAUGCUAUACAGACGUGGAUAAAAACUUCUUAGGGAGGCUGUCGAAACAAGCUGUCCAAUGAAUGGUGACUACUCAAGAGGAGCCAGAAAGUCGAUGUUAUCAAGGCCAGGGUAUUUUGGGAGUUCAUAUGGCCGGGGGGGGGGGGGGGCUCCCCCCCCCCCUCCCUUGAAAUUUCGACCGCACAAUCGCGUCGAAGAUUGGCACAUGGGUUGUCUAGGACAUAAUUUACAAAAUUAAAUUUUAAAUUAUUUCACGCAAAUUGUUAUUAAGUGAUAAUACUAAUUUAUGCGUAAUUAGAAUACAAAAUCAUACUUUUUCCUCUAACUCCCUAAAUAAAGCUCCAAAUGUUCUGAUAUUUGGAAUGGAAACUCUUUGUGGUUUCUUAGCAAGUAUACAUGAACAAAAUUGCAAUAGCAACUCAUUUUCUAUGUAUUAUAUUGUUUUUUGCAAUUAGGUAUUUCUUUGUUUUUUUACUUUUGUUUUUCAUUGUUUUUUUUCAAUGAAAUUUGUUGGGGACUCUUCUGCGAUCAUGAAAAGCAUAAGAUAAAUACAUUUAGACCAGUAAAACCAACAACAAUAAUACAUUCAUGAUUUUCGGUUGAAAGCGCAAUUUGCAUUGACUUUGUACACAAAAUCACGUUUUUGAGCAAUUGUUGGUAUGACAUGUACUUACAUAAUGUCACGUUAUUUCAGAACCACGUACCGGGUGACACAAGAUUGGUCUCAAAAGAUGCACAAGACUAGAAAGAGGCAUGUUUUAAAAAAUUGUGCGACAGCAUGUUCGCAAAAUUUUUGGAAGGGGGGGGGUCAAAUUGGUCCAAUUUAACUAAGGGUUAAUAACUGGGAGGCUGUUAGCUGCCUUUUUACUUUCAAGUCUUGCACAUCUUUUGAGACCAAAUUUGUGAUGCCUGGGUAUGCCGUUCCGGAAUUUCGCAACAUUUUUAUGUACUAAUCCAACACAAAUGCUGUUUCUUGCUAAAAAUUCACAAUUAGUAUACCAGUAAUAUACAUUUAUUAAGAUUAAAGUCAAAUUAUUUAAUUACAUUUAUAAUCAUAAAAGCGUUAAUAAAGUAUAAAAAAAAACCAAAGAGUUGUAUGAAAAUUUUCAAAAAGAAUGAACGGUAAAAGAAAACAAGAUUACAAUGUCCAUUGCUAGGGGGCUAGCCUAUUCAGGAUAAUUGGGAUUUUAUUCAGUUUUUAAUUGACUUAACAUCAUGACAAGAUCCCUCCAUUUAGUGUAUAAACAGCACAUGGCCAUGAUUGAAAUUUAUAUAAAAUUAAAGAAUGCAAACCAGGCAGCUACAUGUACAUGUAGGACUCACUGCUUGUCAAUUCUAUUGUCUGCCAGGGUCAAGUGACAUACAAUGCACAUGUAUAACGUGUGUGAAAGUACAUAAGAAAAUCAGCUUUUUAUUUUUGUACUGUAACAUUGGGUGAACUGGUGAUCACUUUGGAUAUGAUGCUCUUCAUAUUGGUUUAUUUUAUGUAUAUGUAUUUUUGGAUAAUCAUUAAGAAUUAAAGCUAUUUACUUAACAUAUGGAAGCAUAAGCCCAUCAAAAACAGAAUUAUGUCAUGUACAGCUAAUUCCUUUUGCGUGAUAUUACAAUUGUAAUUGUUUACUUGAGCAAGUAAUUUGAAUUGCUGCAUGACCUAAACAAUGACAUGUUCCAAUUCGAAUAGUAACAUGACCUAAAGAAGAAUUACUCCACGACGAUUGAGCGUGCUUAUGUUAAAUAAUUGAUGUUGCUACUUCAAAUAAUUGAGGUCAAUCAAAUUGGUCAUAAUUAUUCAAGUCAAUUUUGAGCUAUAUGUCAUAAUUGUUUAAGUCAUAUACUAAUUGAAAUUACUAAAUGACUCGAGUAGGUAUGAAUUCACGUUGCCACAUGACCUUAUUUAUUUUAUGUAGCAACAUCAAGUAUUGAACGUCAUUUAGUUAUUAAUUAUGACAUGAAGCAAAUCAAAUUACAUGCCGCAAUUUCGUGUUUAUGAUUGGCUCAUGCUUACAUUCAUAUAUAACCCUUCAAUCCGUAGUUGGAGCAAUUCUUAGACAAGAAGACUGUGCAAAACAAUGAUAUGCCUAUUCAAUGUCAAAAAGAUUAAUGUCUCAAUAGAUUUGAUCUACAUUUCGGCAAAGUAAUCUUAUGUUGAUAUUUUUUCUAACCUAUGGUGAACAUUCUAAAUCAUGUGAAAUUCACUCAAAAAUAUAUUUCAUUAUUUAUGGACUUAAGUGAAUUCUGAGCAAAAUGAAGUGAUUAUAAUUACGUUCAUGUACUUUAAAUUUAUACUGGUGAUCAACACAUCAUAAUUUCAUCCCUUACUGUAUGUGCACCAUGCAUUAUCUGUACAUGCACAAGUGGUUAUCCAUUGUUUCAUAACAUGGUUGAGUAAAGGAUGUUCUGCUUUUAGUAUUAAGCCAAUUGGGUGUUGACAAAAAGGGGGAAAUGCAAUUGCUCAGCUAGUACAGGUUUUUUUUACAACCAUAAUACUGGUUAAGCCUUGGUUACAUUCGCCGGCUGGUGGCCUUACGGCGAGUCAAAAUUAGCCGUUUUAAUCAUCCUUGUACCAGCUACUACCAGCUACACGUAGGUGGUUUGUACAGGAAUACCUAAAACUGCUGAUUUUGUCUCGCCGUAAGGCGACCGGUCAGCGAAUGUGACCGAGGUAUUAAUAAUACUUGCUUAUUGUUGUGUUAGAGGGAAGGAUUCUGGGUCGAAUCUAGCUUUCUUUAAGUGAUCUCAAAAUGGCAGCAAUGUAUGAAUAGUGAAGGUAAUUCAUGUGGCAUCUCAAUGUUGGUGGAUAUAAAUCUUUGUACAUGUACUACAUGUAUCCCAAAGAUGAAAUGUUACUGCAUUAUUCUAGCAGUCAUUUAUAAUAUCAAAGAUGUUUUAUACUGUGCAUAGUACAACUCAUACAUAAUAAAGGUAUGUAAAUAUGCUCUU